rnacentral:rRNA from 1 species
CCUACGGGUGGCAGCAGUGGGGAAUAUUGCACAAUGGGGGAAACCCUGAUCCAGCGACGCCGCGUGAGUGAAGAAGUAAUUCGUUAUGUAAAGCUCUAUCAGCAGGGAAGAAAAUGACGGUACCUGCGUAAUAAGCCCCGGCUAACUACGUGCCAGCAGCCGCGGCAAUACGUAGGGGGCAAGCGUUAUCCGGAUUUACUGGGUGUAAUGGGAGCGUAGUCGGCAGUGCAAGUCUGGAGUGAAAGGCGGGGGCCCAACCCCCGGACUGCUCUGGAAACUGUACGGCUGGAGUGCAGGAGAGGUAAGUGGAAUUCCUAGUGUAGCGGUGAAAUGCGUAGAUAUUAGGAGGAACACCAGUGGCGAAGGCGGCUUACUGGACUGUAACUGACGUUGAGGCUCGAAAGCGUGGGGAGCAAACAGGAUUAGAUACCCGAGUAGUC